rnacentral:rRNA from 1 species
UUAACUAUAAACUAUGCCGACUAGGGAUCGGACGAUGUUAUUCUUUGACGCGUUCGGCACCUUUCGAGAAAUCAAAGUGCUUGGGCUCCAGGGGGAGUAUGGUCGCAAGGCUGAAACUUAAAGAAAUUGACGGAAGGGCACCACCAGGGGUGGAACCUGCGGCUUAAUUUGACUCAACCCGGGGAAACUUCCCAGGUCCAGACCCAGUGAGGAUUGGCAGAUUGAGAGCUCUUUCUUGAUUCUGUGGGUGGUGGUGCAUGGCCGUUCUUAGUUGGUGGAGUGAUUUGUCUGCUUAAUUGCGAUAACGAACGAGACCUUAACCUGCUAAAUAGCCCGUACUGCUUUGGCAGUUCGCCGGCUUCUUAGAGGGACUAUCGGCUCAAGCCGAUGGAAGUUUGAGGCAAUAACAGGUCUGUGAUGCCCUUAGAUGUCCUG